rnacentral:rRNA from 1 species
GGUUAAGCGACUAAGCGUACACGGUGGAUGCCCUGGCAGUCAGAGGCGAUGAAGGACGUGCUAAUCUGCGAUAAGCGUCGGUAAGGUGAUAUGAACCGUUAUAACCGGCGAUUUCCGAAUGGGGAAACCCAGUGUGAUUCGUCACACUAUCAUUAACUGAAUCCAUAGGUUAAUGAGGCGAACCGGGGGAACUGAAACAUCUAAGUACCCCGAGGAAAAGAAAUCAACCGAGAUUCCCCCAGUAGCGGCGAGCGAACGGGGAGCAGCCCAGAGCCUGAAUCAGUGUGUGUGUUAGUGGAAGCGUCUGGAAAGGCGUGCGAUACAGGGUGACAGCCCCGUACACAAAAAUGCACAUGCUGUGAGCUCGAUGAGUAGGGCGGGACACGUGGUAUCCUGUCUGAAUAUGGGGGGACCAUCCUCCAAGGCUAAAUACUCCUGACUGACCGAUAGUGAACCAGUACCGUGAGGGAAAGGCGAAAAGAACCCCGGCGAGGGGAGUGAAAAAGAACCUGAAACCGUGUACGUACAAGCAGUGGGAGCACAGAGCAAUCUGUGUGACUGCGUACCUUUUGUAUAAUGGGUCAGCGACUUAUAUUCUGUAGCAAGGUUAACCGAAUAGGGGAGCCGAAGGGAAACCGAGUCUUAACUGGGCGUUAAGUUGCAGGGUAUAGACCCGAAACCCGGUGAUCUAGCCAUGGGCAGGUUGAAGGUUGGGUAACACUAACUGGAGGACCGAACCGACUAAUGUUGAAAAAUUAGCGGAUGACUUGUGGCUGGGGGUGAAAGGCCAAUCAAACCGGGAGAUAGCUGGUUCUCCCCGAAAGCUAUUUAGGUAGCGCCUCGUGAAUUCAUCUCCGGGGGUAGAGCACUGUUUCGGCAAGGGGGUCAUCCCGACUUACCAACCCGAUGCAAACUGCGAAUACCGGAGAAUGUUAUCACGGGAGACACACGGCGGGUGCUAACGUCCGUCGUGAAGAGGGAAACAACCCAGACCGCCAGCUAAGGUCCCAAAGUCAUGGUUAAGUGGGAAACGAUGUGGGAAGGCCCAGACAGCCAGGAUGUUGGCUUAGAAGCAGCCAUCAUUUAAAGAAAGCGUAAUAGCUCACUGGUCGAGUCGGCCUGCGCGGAAGAUGUAACGGGGCUAAACCAUGCACCGAAGCUGCGGCAGCGACGCUUAUGCGUUGUUGGGUAGGGGAGCGUUCUGUAAGCCUGCGAAGGUGUGCUGUGAGGCAUGCUGGAGGUAUCAGAAGUGCGAAUGCUGACAUAAGUAACGAUAAAGCGGGUGAAAAGCCCGCUCGCCGGAAGACCAAGGGUUCCUGUCCAACGUUAAUCGGGGCAGGGUGAGUCGACCCCUAAGGCGAGGCCGAAAGGCGUAGUCGAUGGGAAACAGGUUAAUAUUCCUGUACUUGGUGUUACUGCGAAGGGGGGACGGAGAAGGCUAUGUUGGCCGGGCGACGGUUGUCCCGGUUUAAGCGUGUAGGCUGGUUUUCCAGGCAAAUCCGGAAAACUAAGGCUGAGGCGUGAUGACGAGGCACUACGGUGCUGAAGCAACAAAUGCCCUGCUUCCAGGAAAAGCCUCUAAGCAUCAGGUAACAUCAAAUCGUACCCCAAACCGACACAGGUGGUCAGGUAGAGAAUACCAAGGCGCUUGAGAGAACUCGGGUGAAGGAACUAGGCAAAAUGGUGCCGUAACUUCGGGAGAAGGCACGCUGAUAUGUAGGUGAAGUCCCUCGCGGAUGGAGCUGAAAUCAGUCGAAGAUACCAGCUGGCUGCAACUGUUUAUUAAAAACACAGCACUGUGCAAACACGAAAGUGGACGUAUACGGUGUGACGCCUGCCCGGUGCCGGAAGGUUAAUUGAUGGGGUCAGCGCAAGCGAAGCUCUUGAUCGAAGCCCCGGUAAACGGCGGCCGUAACUAUAACGGUCCUAAGGUAGCGAAAUUCCUUGUCGGGUAAGUUCCGACCUGCACGAAUGGCGUAAUGAUGGCCAGGCUGUCUCCACCCGAGACUCAGUGAAAUUGAACUCGCUGUGAAGAUGCAGUGUACCCGCGGCAAGACGGAAAGACCCCGUGAACCUUUACUAUAGCUUGACACUGAACAUUGAGCCUUGAUGUGUAGGAUAGGUGGGAGGCUUUGAAGUGUGGACGCCAGUCUGCAUGGAGCCGACCUUGAAAUACCACCCUUUAAUGUUUGAUGUUCUAACGUUGACCCGUGAUCCGGGUUGCGGACAGUGUCUGGUGGGUAGUUUGACUGGGGCGGUCUCCUCCUAAAGAGUAACGGAGGAGCACGAAGGUUGGCUAAUCCUGGUCGGACAUCAGGAGGUUAGUGCAAUGGCAUAAGCCAGCUUGACUGCGAGCGUGACGGCGCGAGCAGGUGCGAAAGCAGGUCAUAGUGAUCCGGUGGUUCUGAAUGGAAGGGCCAUCGCUCAACGGAUAAAAGGUACUCCGGGGAUAACAGGCUGAUACCGCCCAAGAGUUCAUAUCGACGGCGGUGUUUGGCACCUCGAUGUCGGCUCAUCACAUCCUGGGGCUGAAGUAGGUCCCAAGGGUAUGGCUGUUCGCCAUUUAAAGUGGUACGCGAGCUGGGUUUAGAACGUCGUGAGACAGUUCGGUCCCUAUCUGCCGUGGGCGCUGGAGAACUGAGGGGGGCUGCUCCUAGUACGAGAGGACCGGAGUGGACGCAUCACUGGUGUUCGGGUUGUCAUGCCAAUGGCACUGCCCGGUAGCUAAAUGCGGAAGAGAUAAGUGCUGAAAGCAUCUAAGCACGAAACUUGCCCCGAGAUGAGUUCUCCCUGACUCCUUGAGAGUCCUGAAGGAACGUUGAAGACGACGACGUUGAUAGGCCGGGUGUGUAAGCGCAGCGAUGCGUUGAGCUAACCGGUACUAAUGAACCGUGAGGCUUAACCUU